UACGUAGGGCGCAAGCGUUAAUCGGAAUUACUGGGCGUAAAGCGUGCGCGGGCGGUUUUGUAAGUCUGAUGUGAAAUCCCCGGGCUCAACCUGGGAAUUGCAUUGGAGACUGCAAGGCUAGAAUCUGGCAGAGGGGGGUAGAAUUCCACGUGUAGCAGUGAAAUGCGUAGAGAUGUGGAGGAACACCGAUGGCGAAGGCAGCCCCCUGGGUCAAGAUUGACGCUCAUGCACGAAAGCGUGGGGAGCAAACAGG
rnacentral:rRNA from 1 species